UACGGAGGGGGCCAGCGUUAUCCGGAUUCACUGGGUUUAAAGGGUGCGUAGGUGGGUUGGUAAGUCAGUGGUGAAAUCUCCGAGCUUAACUUGGAAACUGCCAUUGAUACUAUCAGUCUUGAAUAUUGUGGAGGUUAGCGGAAUAUGUCAUGUAGCGGUGAAAUGCUUAGAUAUGACAUAGAACACCAAUUGCGAAGGCAGCUGGCUACGCAUAUAUUGACACUGAGGCACGAAAGCGUGGGGAUCAAACAGG
rnacentral:rRNA from 1 species